rnacentral:lncRNA from 1 species
AAGUCCCCGCCCCUGCGUCUGCGCACCUUUCUGGCCCCGGAAGACUCCGGCCGUGGCACCCGCAGCGGGCAGGGCAGUGCCAAGGCUUGGAAGACAAGAAACCCAGGUGUCACGUCUGACCCGAUGCCAAAGACACAGCUGCGACUGAAGUCCUUCUCUGCGUGGGAGGGGUCUCCGGAGGCGCGGAGAGUAAACAAAGGGGACACAGAAGGGACUCCGAGGGCAUGAGCUGGGCACACACAUGGCCCAGGGCAAGUGUCCAGAUGGGUGUCCUCGCGCUAUUUCUCCAGCUGCCUCACAGGCUGGGGCAUCAUCGGAAAGGCCGCCGCCCGGGGACGGGCCCACAUCCGUGCUGCUCUCCUGCCCCCAGCGGGCUGCAGAGGGACGAGUGCCAGGAGAUGCCAGGUCAAAGCGCCCACCCACAGCGUGCCGGGCUACUUGUAGCUCCAUUCCAGGACAGACCCAUCAGGUGCCCCGACUCAAAGGUUUGAGUCCAAGAGGUCUUACAGCUGUUGGGCCUCCGUUUGGCCAAGAACUAAAGUGGAAAUGACCCCGCGAGGAAGGAAAGUGAGCAUGGCCUGCCCUGACCACCCAAUUAAAUCACAGACACGGGCCAGGGGUGCAUCACUCUUCCGGCCAGCCCUUCAGACAGAGAAGCGCCCCUUCUGACCUAUUAAAGCAAGUCCCUGGGGAACUCUGUCCCCUUCUGAAGUGACACCGUGGGAAAACCUUGUGCCCGAGAACACAGCCACAUAAAGGGUUUUGUGCAAACGCAAAGUGUCUGGGCUGCUGUGUGAGCGCCAGCUGGACAGAGGAUGCGUGCCCAGAUGCCGUCUUGGCCAGCUUGCAGCUUGAAUGAGCUAAUGUUUUCUGGCUCCUUCUGGCUUUGCCUUUCCAAUUUGGUUUGAAUGUUUGCAUUACUGUGUUAUUUUCCUGGUACAACUGCUGUUGUCUGCACACGAUUAGGUCAUUUCAUCUUUGGGGGAGCAGAUACUGCAGACUUGAGACGAGCUCCAGCUGGUCGCUGGUUCCCUCCUCAGACGUGUAUUUCCACCCCCAUCCUGUUGGUCCUAAAGACUCCACCUGCAUCUGAAAGUUUUCACCCAAGUCAUCCAACCAAGCGGACAGAACCACGACACCCCUUAGUAAUGGCGAGUGAGCACAUCCUAUUUCUGUGCCCCAGGCUGAUCUACUGAACAAUCAUACUGAUCCUUGGGCCAAUCCAGACACAAGAAAGGAGGUUCCCUGGUGGCCUGUGGCUUCCUGGUCUGUGGUAGAUGCUGGGCAAGGGGAAAGGAAGGAAAGUGCCAGGCUGAGGAGGAAGGACCAGCUGCCCCCAGAGGUGAGGCCAGACAUGCGUGGAGAUGCUCAGGCCAAGACAGAGGCUAGUCUUUGAACGAGGGCUUUGAACAGUGAGAGAAAG